rnacentral:rRNA from 1 species
UUUUGAAAAUAUUGAGUCCACUUGACGGUACCCAAGGAGGAAGCCCCGGCUAACUACGUGCCAGCAGCCGCGGUAAUACGUAGGGGGCAAGCGUUGUCCGGAAUUAUUGGGCGUAAAGGGCGCGUAGGCGGAUGCUUAAGUCCGGUGUGAAAGAUCAGGGCUCAACCCUGAGAGUGCAUCGGAAACUGGGUAUCUUGAGGACAGGAGAGGAAAGUGGAAUUCCACGUGUAGCGGUGAAAUGCGUAGAUAUGUGGAGGAACACCAGUGGCGAAGGCGACUUUCUGGACUGUAACUGACGCUGAGGCGCGAAAGCGUGGGGAGCAAACAGGAUUAGAUACCCUGGUAGUCCACGCCGUAAACGAUGAGUGCUAGGUGUAGAGGGUAUCGACCCCUUCUGUGCCGCAGUUAACACAAUAAGCACUCCGCCUGGGGAGUACGGCCGCAAGGUUGAAACUCAAAUGAAUUGACGG